CGAUAUGUAUGUUCCUAUUCCCAUUUUCCAAAUUGUUUUGGGUUCGUUUUUAUAGGUCUUUUCCUUCUCUUGUGUUUCUUGUCUAGAGAAGUUCCUUUAGCAUUUGUUGUAAAGCUGGUUUGGUGGUGCUGAACUCUCUCCGCUUUUGCUUGUCUGUAAAGGUUUUAAUUUCUCCAUCAAAUCUGAAUGAGUUCCUUGCUGGGUAAAGUAAUCUUGGUUGCAGGUUUUUCUCCUUCACCACUUUCAGUAUGUCCUGCCAUUCCCUUCUGGCUUGCAGGGUUUCUGCUGAGAGAUCAGCUGUUAACCUUAUGGGGAUUCCCUUGUGUGUUAUUUGUUGUUUUUCCCUUGCUGCUUUUAAUAUGUUUUCUUUGUAUUUAAAUUUUGACAGUUUGAUUAAUAUGUGUCUUGGCAUGUUUCUCCUUGGAUUUAUCCUGUAUGGGACUCUCUGUGCUUCCUGGACUUGAUUAACUAUUUCCUUUCCCAUAUUAGGGAAGUUUUCAACUAUAAUCUCUUCAAAUAUUUUCUCAGUCCCUUUCUUUUUCUCUUCUUCUUAUGGAACCCCUAUAAUUAGAAUGUUGGUGCGUUUAAUGUUGUCCCAGAGGUCUCUGAGACUGUCCUCAGCUCUUUUCAUUCUUUUUUCUUUAUUCUGCUCUGCAGUAGUUAUUUCCACUAUUUUAUCUUCCAGGUCACUUAUCCGUUCUUCUGCCUCAGUUAUUCUGCUAUUGAUCCCAUCUAGAGUACUUUUAAUUUCGUUUAUUGUGUUGUUUAUCGUUGCUUGUUUCAUCUUUACUUCUUCUAGGUCCUUGUUAAAUGUUUCUUGCAUUUUGUCUCUUCUGUUUCCAAGAUUUUGGAUCAUCCUGACUAUCAUUAUUCUGAAUUCUUUUUCAGGUAGACUGCCUAUUUCCUCUUCAUUUGUUAGGUCUGGUGCAUUUUUAUCUUGCUCCUUCAUCUGCUGUGUGUUUUCUGUCUUCUCAUUUUGCUUAUCUUACUGUGUUUGGGGUCUCCUUUUUGCAGGCUGCAGGUUCGUAGUUCCCGUUGUUUUUGAUGUCUGUCUCCAGUGGCUAAGGUUGGUUCAGUGGGUUGUGUAGGCUUCCUGGUGGAGGGGACUAGUGCCUGUGUUGUGGUGGAUGAGGGUGGAUCUUGUCUCUCUAGUUGGCAGGUCCACGUCUGGUGUUGUGUUUUGGGGUGUCUGUGGAGUUAUUAUGAUUUUAGGCAGCCUCUCUGCUAAUGGGUGGGGUUGUGUUCCUGUUUUGCUAGUUGUUUGGCAUAGGUUUUCCAGCACUGUAGCUUGCUGGUCGUUGAGUGAAGCUGGGUGCUGGUGUUGAGAUGGAGAUCUCUGGGAGAUUAUUACCAUUUGAUAUUAUGUGUAGCUGGGAGGUCUCUUGUGGACCAGUGUCCUGAAGUUGGCUCUCCCACCUCAGAGGCACAUCACUGAGUCCUGGCUGGAGCAUCAAGAGCCUUUCAUCCACACGGCUCAGAAUAAGAGGGAGGAAAAGUAGAGAGAAUUAGUAGAACUAUGAAGGAAGAAAGAAGGAAAGAAAGAAAGAAAGGAGGGAAGGAAGAAAGAAAGAAAGAAGGCAAGAAGGAAAGAAAGGAGGGAGGGAGGGAGGAAAGAAGGAAGGAGGGAAGGAAGGAAAAAUGACAAAGAAGAUACAGUAAAAUAAAAUAUAAUAAAGUUUUUGAAUUAAAAAAUAAUUAUUUAGGAAAAAAAGGGAUGGAUAGAAUCUUAGGACAAAUGUUGGAAGCAAAGCUAUACAGACAAAAUCUUACACAGAAGCAUACAUAUACACCCUCACAAAAAGAGGUAAAGGGGAAAAAAUCAUAAAUCUUGCUCUCAAAGUCCACCUCCUCAUUUUGGGAUGAUUCGUUGUCUAUUCAUGUAUUCCACAGAUGCAGGGCACAUCAAGUUGAUUGUGGAGCUUUAAUCCGGUGUUUCUGAGGCUGCUGGGAGUGAUUUCCCUUUGUCUUCUUUGUUCUCACAGCUCACAGGGGCUCAGCUUUGGAUUUGGCCCUGCCUCUGCCUGUAUGUAGGUCGCUGGAGGGCGUUUGUUUUUUGCUCAGACAGGACGGGGUUAAAGGAGCCGCUGAUUCGGGGGCUCUGGCUCACUCAGGCGGGGGGGAGGGGGGGCACGGAUGCGGGGCAAGCCUGCGGUGGCAGAGGCCGUCGUGACGUUGCACCAGCCUGAGGCGCGCCGUGCGUUCUACCGGGGAAGUUGUCCCUGGAUCCCGGUACCCUGGCAGUGGUGGGCUGCACAGGCUCCCUGGAAGGGGGUUGUGGAUAGUGACCUGUGCUUGCACACAGGCUUCUUUGGUGGCGGCCGCAACGGCCUUAGAGUCUUAUGCCCGUCUCUGUGGUCCGCGAUGAUAGCCGCGGCUGGUGCCCGUCUCUGGAGCUUCUUUAAGCAGAGCUCUUAAUCCCUUCUCCUCACGCACAGGAAACAAAGAGGGAAGAAAAAGUCUCUUGCCUCUUCGGCAGGUCCAGACUUUUCCCGGACUCCCUCCCGGCUAGCCGUGGCUCACUAACCCCCUGCAGGCAGUGUUCACGCCGCCAACCCCAGUCCUCUCCCUGCGCUCCGACCGAAACCCCCGAGCCUCGGCUCCGAGCCCCGCCCUCCCCGGCGGGUGAGCAGACAAGCCUCUCGGGCUGGUGAGUGCCAGUAGGCACCGAUCCUCUGUGCGGGAAUCUCCCCGCUUUGCCCUCCGCACCCCUGUUGCUGCGCUCUCCUCCGUGGCCCUGAAGCUUCCCCCUCCGCCUCCCACAGUCUCUGCCCGCGAAGGGGCUUCCUAGUGUGUGGAAACCUUUCCUCCUUCACAGCUCCCUCCCACUGGUGCAGGUCCCGUCCCUAUCCUUUUUGUCUCUGUUUAUUCUUUUUUCUUUUGACCUACCCAGGUGCGUGGGGACUUUCUUGCCUUUUGGGAGGUCUGAGGACUUCUGCCAGCGUUCAGUAGGUGUUCUGUAGGAGUUGUUCCACAUGUAGAUGUAUUUCUGUUGUAUCUGUGGGGAGGAAGGUGAUCUCUGCGUCUUACUCUUCCGCCAUCUUCCCCUCGUCUCCGCACUGAGUUUUAAUUUGUGACACUGGAGCUUGCAAAUUUGCAUGUUUAGUUAGCUUCCAAGUGAUACUUACAUACUUUAAGGUCUCAGAACCACUGAGUUUGUAUGAAAAUGGUAGCUAGUGGCUAGGGAUGAUCUAAUUCAUUCCUACGCAAAGUGUGGUCCACCUUACAAAGGUCCAGCAUCACCUUAAGAGAUGUCCCAAGUAAUUCUGAUGGGGGUCAGGAAUUGGCCAUCAUCAUGUUUUAAAAGCGACUCAGAGGAUUUUAAUCAUUAGUCAAGGAGAAAACCAGUGGUUUCAUCCUCUGCUGACUCAUUAUUGCCAACAUGGGUGCAAUCUGCCUUGGUAACCAUCUUGGCAUUUAUGUGUAUGCAUCCAGAUUCCUGUUUAAGCUUUCUUUCCUUUCAUCACCGUUCAUCAUAGUGAGUACACAUGUGAUUUUGACCAUAUUGAUAGUAUUGUGCUUCAAUUUUGGAGAUGGACAUGGCAUCACAAAUGGCUGAAAUGUCCUCAAGAAAUGUAUCACCUUGGGAUAAAUGACUAUCUAAUUGCAUAUGCAAAGAGUAAUAGUCUUUGAAGAGAAAGGAAUUUUACAGAGGGAAGGGAUUCUAAUUCUCAUUAAAAUUGCCCACCUUCUCUGAGCGCGUUUAGUCCUGCUCAGUUCUACCACCUGAACUGAUUCCUGAAGUCCCUUGCUACAAAGUCUAUAGUGACUGAUUUCAGGAAUUGAUUAACAAUGGGGAACAUCUAAUCUGAUUAAGCAUCUGUGAUUUAACAUUUCUACCAUUAGGGGACAGUAUAACUCAGGAAAAAAUUUGGCUGGUAAUUUGUAUAUAAAAAACAAUCAUUUUUCUCAUAUGAAGAUAAAGAUUGUAAAGAAUUCAGUCCAGGUAUUAUUGUUUUCAGUAGUGAUCAUCUGCAUUGCCUUACUUAAUUCCCAUCACAAGUAAUCACAUGACUCUGGAAAUUAGUCAUGAAAUAGACAAGAGUAAGGGUUUGCAAUCUUUUUCUGUAAAGGACCAGAUAGUAAAUAUUUUACAUUUUGUGGGCCAUAUGGUCUCUGUCUCAGUUACUCAACUCUGCCAUUAUAGCACAAAACAGCCAUACACAAGAUAUAAAUGAAUGGGCAUGUCUGCAUUCCUAUUAAGCUUUAUUUACAAAAACAGAUGGCAGGGUUUGCUUUAGCUUAAGGGCUGUAGUUUGAUGACCCCUGUACUAGAGGGGUAGUUUUCAAACCUGGAUAAUUUUCAGAAGUACGUGGGGAGCUUGUUAAAAAUUUAGAGUCCUGGACCGCACAUGAAAUCUACUGAAUCAAAAUAUCUGUGGAUGGGGCCCAGGCAUCUGAAUUUUUAAAAGUUCCCACAUGAUUCUGAAGUAAAUUCUUAUUUAGCAACCAUUAGACCAAAAUACAGUUCCCCUUUUAGGGAACUAUAACGUCCUCCUCGGCAUAUUGUAAUAUUUUCAGUAUCCGAGUAACUAUCCAUGGUACAAAAGAUAUAAACGUAGAGCUUAGGCUCAGAUUAUCUCUGUGGGUACUUUCAAAGCACAUCAAUGAAGGUCUCAUUCCCAUAUAAAUGUUUGUAUUAAGUGACUGGUUUGGGGGUUGUUUUGUACCACAGCACAUCCCAGCCUGCCCUGACUGAUAGAGGGCCAUACUGAAUUACUUUGAACUGGGAAGGGGAAGAGAUUGAAGACAUGGAAAAAGGGGAAGGAAGAAUGUAGAGAGUUGGUGGAAUGUUGUAUAGUACUUCCCCAAAAUGUCCAAAAUCUUCAAUAAACUUCCACUCUCACAAAAAACUUGCUGUGAUUGGAUUUUUGAUUUUUUGAUUUUUUUGAUUUUUAUUUUUUUUUGCAGAAAUUGGUGAAGGCGAGGGGUUUAAUGCCUAGAUCUGACCAUGCUACAGCUUUGCUCAAAAUUUUUUGCUGGUUACCUAUCACUACAAAACAAGUUCUGGGACUUCCCUGGUGGAACAGUGGAUAAGAAUCCACCUUCUAAUGCAGUGACAUGGGUUCGAGCCCUGGGUCGGGAAGAUCCCACAUGCUGCAGAGCAACUAAGCCCGUGCCCCACAACUACUGAGUCUGCACUCUAGAGCCUGUGAGCCACAACUACUGAGCCCAUGUGCUGCAACUGCUGAAGUCUGCAUGCCUAGAGCCCGUGCUCCACAACAAGAGAAGCCACCGUAAUGAGAAGCCCACGCACUGCAAUAAAGAGUAGUCCCCACUCACCGCAACUAGAGAAAGCCCGUGCACAGCAACGAAGACCCAACACAGCCAAAAAUAAAUAAAUAAGUAAGUAAGGAAACCAAGACUCAAUGUGGUUAAGUGACUUGUCCAGAAUCAUCCAAACAGUUCGUGGGCUUUAACACCAGUCUCUGGAUACUAAAGCUUAUGCUUUUCAUGGAGCAAUGCUGUGUCCCCUGGGGUGAAGACAAGAGUGACCCAAGACCCUCAAGUCUAACUGCCAUCACGUUGCACUCAGCAGAAUUUCCAGAGCAACUUGUGUACCCAGGAGCUGGCCAGGCAGAUGUGGGCAUUCUCUAAAGCUCUCCAUGUGUCUUCUGCCUUCAGCACAGGUGGUGCUUGGCUGUGAAUCAACUAUGGUCUAAUUGUUCCUUUGUUUGUUUAUUCAUUCAUCGACAGGUGUAUGUUAUUCUGACCAUUUAUGUGACUAUUAUAUGCCAGAAACUACUCUGGGCACUGGAAGUUCAGCCAUAUGCAAAAUAGACUAAAAAAAAAACCUUGCUCUAAUGGAACUUACAUUCUAAAUGGGGAACAUGGGCAGUAAGUGAAUGAACAAACAUGUCUGUUUAUUUACUUAUUUAAUGUUGAGGAGUAAUAAGGUCUUUGAAGAAAAAUAAAAUUGGGAAGAGGAA